GGCCGGGCGCGGUGGCUCACGCCUGUAAUUCCAGCACUUUGGGAGGCCGAGGCGGGCGGAUCACGAGGUCAGCAGAUCGAGACCAUCCUGGCUAACACGGUGAAACCCCGUCUCUACU
rnacentral:misc_RNA from 1 species